CCUACGGGGGGCAGCAGUGAGGAAUAUUGGUCAAUGGACGAGAGUCUGAACCAGCCAAGUAGCGUGAAGGAUGACUGCCCUAUGGGUUGUAAACUUCUUUUAUAUGGGAAUAAAACGUUCCACGUGUGGGAUUUUGUAUGUACCAUAUGAAUAAGGAUCGGCUAACUCCGUGCCAGCAGCCGCGGUAAUACGGAGGAUCCGAGCGUUAUCCGGAUUUAUUGGGUUGAAAGGGAGCGUCGGUGGAUUGUUAAGUCAGUUGUGAAAGUUUGCGGCUCAACCGUAAAAUUGCAGUUGAAACUGGCAGUCUUGAGUACAGUAGAGGUGGGCGGAAUUCGUGGUGUAGCGGUGAAAUGCUUAGAUAUCACGAAGAACUCCGAUUGCGAAGGCAGUUCACUGGACUGCAACUGACACUGAGGCUCGAAAGUGUGGGUAUCAAACAGGAUUAGAUACCCGGGUAGUC
rnacentral:rRNA from 1 species